rnacentral:rRNA from 2 species
GGCGGACGGGUGAGUAACACGUGGGUAACCUGCCUGUAAGACUGGGUAACUCCGGGAAACCGGGGCUAAUACCGGAUAACACCUACCCCCGCAUGGGGGAAGGUUGAAAGGUGGCUUCGGCUAUCACUUACAGAUGGACCCGCGGCGCAUUAGCUAGUUGGUGAGGUAAUGGCUCACCAAGGCGACCAUGCGUAGCCGACCUGAGAGGGUGAUCGGCCACACUGGGACUGAGACACGGCCCAAACUUCCUACGGGAGGCAGCAGUAGGGAAUCUUCCGCAAUGGACGAAAGUCUGACGGAGCAACGCCGCGUGAGUGAAGAAGGUUUUCGGAUCGUAAAACUCUGUUGUUAGGGAAGAACAAGUGCCGUUCGAAUAGGGCGGCGCCUUGACGGUGACCUAACCAGAAAGCCACGGCUAACUACGUGCCAGCA